rnacentral:rRNA from 1 species
AUUGAACGCUGGCGGCAGGCCUAACACAUGCAAGUCGAACGAGUGGCGGACGGGUGAGAAAAGUCUGGGAAACUGCCCGAUGGAGGGGGAUAACUACUGGAAACGGUAGCUAAUACCGCAUACCAUCGGAUGUGCCCAGAUGGGAUGGGCUAGUAGGUGGGGUAACGGCUCACCUCGGAGACGAUCCCUAGCUGGUCUGCGAGGGUGACCAGCCACACGGGAACUGGGACACGGUCCAGACCCCUACGGGGGGCAGCAGUGGGGAAUAUGGCAAAAGGGGCGCAAGCCUGAUGCAGCCAUGCCGCGUGUAUGAAGAAGGCCUUCGGGGUGUAAAGUACUUUCAGCGAGGAGGCGUUACUCGCAGAAGAAGCACCGGCUAACUCCGUGCCAGCAGCCGCGGUAAUAC